rnacentral:lncRNA from 1 species
AGGAGAGACCAUUGGUGAAGGUGCAGCCUCAGUAGCUGUUGAAGGCCAGAUAGACUGAAGGAGUCAUGAAGAGAAACCGAGGCUCGGCAUCAUGAAUAAAUCCUAGGACAUUGGUAAAAGCACAGCCCAGUUGCAGUCAAAGAUCCCAGCAUUGUGGAGAUGCCAGUACCUUGGCAUGAUCACCAAGAGCAGCAGUGGCCAUAGAAUGGCGCCUACCCGAGCUUAGAGGACAAGCUGUGUGUGCUACAGAGGAGCUGGAGAAGUGGCCCAAGCCCCUUGUAGGAGGCCAGAAGAUGGUUAGUGAAUCCCAGGUGGCGCCACCUCUGUUUGUAAACUCCAAUCCAGAGCUGUAGUUGUUUCUCCUUUUGGCCCUACACUGUAGAACCAAAGCCGUGCCCAACAGAAGUAGCCUCACCCUGAGUGUCUGAAGCCAGUAUACACGUGAUGGCCUUGACUUCUCACAGGGGCAGACUGUGAACUGGACCUAUAAACCAAACAUUCUCUUCCUCCCUUGAACUGAGCUAGUCAAGGUCUUUGUUAUCACAGGAAGAACUGAAGAAACCAAUGCAUCUAAGGGGCCAGCACAUCCAGAGUGCAAAGGGUAAUCAUUGCCCUAGGAAAGACAACUUUUUGAUCCUGUUUUCUCUACCAGGAAAGUUCUUAUUUCACAAUUGUAAGGACGCUUCGGAAAAAGUUCAUGGAACAUUCAGUUGACAACUGUCCUGGUAUUCAAAUCAAAAGUGUGGUGAUACGAUUUUAUGAAAACAUCUCUUACAUUGAAAGUGACUUUGGUUUUGAUUGAGUCUCACAACCGAGUUACUGAUACAAUUUAAGACCGCUUAAGACUCCGCCGGAGAAGCUACCGUGGAUUCAUCCUUUCUUUUUACAAGAACAAUGUAGUCCAAAAACUUGUCUUAGACUUCCUGUGUACUUAGCUUUCAUAAGCUAAGCUAAUGCAUAGCUAUAACUUUAAAUUAUAUAUUGUGUCAUGCCCCUCGCCAUGAGAGCAAUAUAUGUGUGUUAUGAUAAUCAUUUGUUAAAAACAUCAAAUAGGUUGAGGGGAGCCUUAUACAAUAAAUACCACCAUAAAUGUUGGAAACAGC